rnacentral:rRNA from 1 species
UACGUAGGGUGCAAGCGUUAUCCGGAUUCACUGGGUUUAAAGGGUGCGUAGGAGGGCAGGUAAGUCAGUGGUGAAAUCUUCGAGCUUAACUCGGAAACUGCCGUUGAUACUAUCUGUCUUGAAUACCGUGGAGGUGAGCGGAAUAUGUCAUGUAGCGGUGAAAUGCUUAGAUAUGACAUAGAACACCAAUUGCGAAGGCAGCUUACUACACAGUUAUUGACGCUGAGGCACGAAAGCGUGGGGAUCAAACAGG